UAUUAUUAUUAUUAUUAUUAUUAUAAUUAUUAUUAUUAAGUUUAUGCUGCCGGUGUUACUACGAAUUCCAAGAUCCACCGGAAAGUGUGAUCCCAGGGGGCGUGUCUUUCUUUUCUUGAUACAAACGUUAAUUCUAAACAGCAUUUUACACAGUUGCCUACUAUAGGCAAUGCUCAAAGAAUGGCCAACAGCUCCUCCUCACCUGAACUCCUCCUCUCUCUCCCCCUCACCUGAACUCCUCAUCUCUCUGUCCUACUCACCUGAACUCCUCCUCUCUCUCUCUCUCUCUCUCUCUCUCUCUCCCCUCUCCUCUCUCUCCCUCUCCCU
ensembl:lncRNA